GAUUUCUGGUCUGACAUGCCUGGCCCGCCGGGGUCACCCGCGUGAGUGCCGGUGCGCGUCUACCAUCCUUCCGGAAAACGGCCUUACCCUUCACUGGGCCGAGGUCGCGAUCCGGAUCUUUUACUUUGAAAAAAUUAGAGUGUUUAAAGCAGGCUUACGCUGUGAAUACAUUAGCAUGGAAUAAUAAUUUAGGACUUUGGUCUUAUUUUGUUGGUUUCUAGGACUAAAGUAAUGAUUGAUAGGGACAGUUGGGGGUGCUAGUAUUCAGCGGCCAGAGGUGAAAUUCUUGGAUUCGCUGAAGACUAACUUAUGCGAAAGCAUU
rnacentral:rRNA from 1 species